rnacentral:tRNA from 1 species
GAGGUGGUGGGACAUGUCUGCCCGGUUCCCCCGAUCAAGGCGGGGGAACUGGGCUUGACCUGGUCUUAUAGCGUUCGAUUCGGAUUCAUCACC